rnacentral:rRNA from 1 species
ACGCUGGCGGCGCGCCUAACACAUGCAAGUCGAACGGAGCUUAGAGAGCUUGCUUUUUAAGCUUAGUGGCGAACGGGUGAGUAACGCGUGAGUAACCUGCCCUAGAGUGGGGGACAACAGUUGGAAACGACUGCUAAUACCGCAUAAGCCCACGGUACCGCAUGGCACUGAGGGAAAAGGAUUUAUUCGCUUUAGGAUGGACUCGCGUCCAAUUAGCUAGUUGGUGAGGUAACGGCCCACCAAGGCGACGAUUGGUAGCCGGACUGAGAGGUUGAACGGCCACAUUGGGACUGAGAUACGGCCCAGACUCCUACGGGAGGCAGCAGUCGGGAAUAUUGCGCAAUGGAGGAAACUCUGACGCAGUGACGCCGCGUAUAGGAAGAAGGUUUUCGGAUUGUAAACUAUUGUCGUUAGGGAAGAUACAAGACAGUACCUAAGGAGGAAGCUCCGGCUAACUACGUG